rnacentral:rRNA from 1 species
GUUUGAUCCUGGCUCAGGACGAACGCUGGCGGCGCGCCUAACACAUGCAAGUCGAACGGGAACUGUCCGGAGCUUGCUUCGGAGGGUUUCAGUGGCGGACGGGUGAGUAACGCGUGAGGAACCUGCCUUUCAGAGGGGGAUAACGUCCGGAAACGGACGCUAAUACCGCAUGACAUCCCGGGAUCACAUGGUUCUGGGAUCAAAGGAGCAAUCCGCUGGAAGAUGGACUCGCGUCCGAUUAGCCGGUUGGUGAGGUAACGGCCCACCAAAGCUGCGAUCGGUAGCCGGACUGAGAGGUUGAACGGCCACAUUGGACUGGAGGAACACCGGCCAGAACUCUAACGGAGGCAGGCAGUGGGGGAAUCCUGCACAAUGGAGGGAACUCUGAUGCAGCGACGCGCGUGAGGGAAAACGGUUUUCGGAUUGUAAACCUCUGUCCCCGGUGACGAUAAUGACGGUAGCCGAGGAGGAAGCUCCGGCUAACUACGUGCCAGCAGCCGCGGUAAUACGUAGGGAGCGAGCGUUGUCCGGAUUUACUGGGUGUAAAGGGUGCGUAGGCGGCUGAACAAGUCAGGUGUGAAAACCAUCGGCUCAACUGAUGGAUUGCACUUGAAACUGUGCAGCUUGAGUGAAGCAGAGGCAGGCGGAAUUCCCGGUGUAGCGGUGAAAUGCGUAGAGAUCGGGAGGAACACCAGUGGCGAAGGCGGCCUGCUGGGCUUUAACUGACGCUGAGGCACGAAAGCAUGGGUAGCAAACAGGAUUAGAUACCCUGGUAGUCCAUGCCGUAAACGAUGAUUACUAGGUGUGGGUGGUCUGACCCCAUCCGUGCCGGAGUUAACACAAUAAGUAAUCCACCUGGGGAGUACGGCCGCAAGGUUGAAACUCAAAGGAAUUGACGGGGGCCCGCACAAGCAGUGGAGUAUGUGGUUUAAUUCGAAGCAACGCGAAGAACCUUUACCAGGUCUUGACAUCUGCCGGGAUCCCGCGGAGACGCGGGGGUGCCCUUUCGGGGAGCGGCAAGACAGGUGGUGCAUGGGUUGUCGUCAGCUCGUGUCGUGAGAUGUGGGUUAAGUCCCGCAACGAGCGCAACCCUUGUGAUUAGUUGCUACGCAAGAGCCACCUCUAAUCAGACUGCCGUUGACAAAACGGAGGAAGGUGGGGAUGACGUCAAAUCAUCAUGCCCCUUAUGACCUGGGCUACACACGUACUACAAUGGCCGCGCACAGAGGGAAGCGAAACCGCGAGGCGGAGCGAACCCCCAAAAACGGUCUCAGUUCGGAUCGCAGGCUGCAACCCGCCUGCGUGAAGCUGGAAUCGCUAGUAAUCGCGGAUCAUCAUGCCGCGGUGAAUACGUUCCCGGGCCUUGUACACACCGCCCGUCACACCAUGGGAGC